rnacentral:rRNA from 1 species
CGUAAGAGACUAGUGUUAUUCAUUUAAUAGGUUUAAAGGGUACUUAGGCGGUUCAAAUCUACCUAAUACAGGAAUAAUUUGAACUAGAGUUAUAUAUAAGGAGGUCGUACCGAUGGAGGAGAGAUAAAAUUCUGUGAUCCCUGGCGGACUGGUAAAGGCGAAGGCAAUCUCUUAUGUAAUAACUGACGUUGAAGGACGAAGGCACCGGGCACGAACAGGAUU